UGGCAGUAGACUUAACUGAUAAAGUAAGUCACUAAUAUCUUUUACUCCGAUUAACAAAUGUUGGCAUAAUCUACCACUGGUGUAGUCUAAGGAUGUAGAUAAUUUGGCUAGAUGGACAGGAUCAUAAACUGUUUCAUUUGAAAGUUUUAUAGGAUUACACAGGUGGUGAGUGUCCACAAUAUCUGAUAAAUAUGCAAGGCCUAAAUUAUUUAGUAUAAAAAAAAAUUAGGAUUUCACAUUUGCAUUCUUUUACUAUUGCAGCAUGGUGAUGAAGGGAAAUUAAGUUUAGCAUAUGCUGCAGAAGCACAAAAGCUUCCAAAUGUG
rnacentral:misc_RNA from 1 species